AGUGAACGCUGGCGGUAGGCCUAACACAUGCAAGUCGAACGGCAGCACAGUAAGCGCUCGCUCUUACGGGUGGCGAGUGGCGGACGGGUGAGGAAUACAUCGGAAUCUACUUUUUCGUGGGGGAUAACGUAGGGAAACUUACGCUAAUACCGCAUACGACCUACGGGUGAAAGCAGUGGAUCUUCGGACCUUGCGCGAUUGAAUGAGCCGAUGUCGGAUUAGCUAGUCGGAGGGGUAAAGGACCACCAAGGCGAUGAGCCGCAGCUGGUCUGAGAGGAUGAUCAGCCAAACUGAAACUGAGGAACGUGCCAGACUCCUAGGGGAGGCAGCAGAGGGAAAUUUUGGACAAUGGGCGCAAGCCUGAGCCAGCCAUACCGCGUAGGUGAAGAAGGCCUUCGGGUUGUAAAGCCCUUUUGUUGGGAAAAAAAAGCAGCAGGUUAAUACCCCGCUGUUCUGACGUUACCCAAAGAAUAAGCACCGGCUAACUUCGU
rnacentral:rRNA from 1 species